rnacentral:lncRNA from 1 species
GGGUUUCAGGGUUAGAUCUUGAAACUUUUUCAAGAUCAUACAGUGGAAGACUAAAAUAAAUCAAAAUUUAUUUUCUAAAAUCAGAAAAUUCCUAGAUCUAAGAUCCUAUUACAUGAUUAUUACAUAGCAUUAAAUCAGAAAUUAAAAUAUAUAAAUAUAGCAUGAACUACAUGUUGAUCAUAUCAACAUAUUUCUAUACCACAUCUAAUGUAUGUAUUAAACAAUAGAUCAGAUCUAUUACCUUGCAAGUUAGAUGCUAUAACCUCGCUGAUCCGGGCUUAAGGAUGAUGUUGCAAGCCGCACACGCAUCCGACCUCUAGGAGUCGUCCACACGAGCCCACGAAUCUCGAUCAGAAGUCCUGCUUCAGGAAAUC